UGCAUUCACUACUGUAAGUCGCUCUAGAUAAGAGCGUCUGCUAAAUGACUGAAA
rfam:Salmo salar isolate Sally breed double haploid chromosome ssa24, whole genome shotgun sequence.